AAAGCUUGCUUUUCUGAAUCUAGUGGCGAACGGGUGAGUAACACGUAGGUAACCUGCCCAUGUGCCCGGGAUAACUUCUGGAAACGGAUGCUAAAACCGGAUAGGUAGCAGACAAGCAUUUGACUGCUAUUAAAGUGGCUAAGGCCAUGAACAUGGAUGGACCUGCGGUGCAUUAGCUAGUUGGUGAGGUAACGGCCCACCAAGGCGACGAUGCAUAGCCGGCCUGAGAGGGCGGACGGCCACAUUGGGACUGAGACACGGCCCAAACUCC
rnacentral:rRNA from 1 species